rnacentral:lncRNA from 1 species
UCAUUAACCAAGAUAUAGAGAUGAAAUAUAAAGAUUGUUACAAAAAAUUAUAUAAUGCAGAUAACAUUGAUUUGCUUAAACGAUCUUUUACUUGCGUAUUUUAUUGGUUCACUAAGUCACUUUAUCUCGCAAAUAAACGUGAAGGACUCAAAUGGAUCCUAAUAAUAGGACCAAAUUUUAUCGUAAAAGCUAUAUAUAUUCAUCCAAAGGGAGAACAAAGCGUGCAGUAACCGCUCCACUCAUCAUCACUACCUGCAACGCUACCCCACCCCGACGAUUCCCUACCUGAUUCCUGCCAUUUUUAUUGCUUCAAAUCGAAAAAACCCAUCCAAGAUCUCGAAGAAUUCAUUCACCAUGUGUUGCGGAAAGAUAUGCAUGAUGUGUAUGUGCUUGAUUGCCGUGGUGAUAGCAAUCGGAAUGCUGUUCGGAUUUGGUGUUUUCAGCAGAGCUUUCCACAAGGUCAAUGACGAAAUACAUUAUUCUUACCCUCCAUCUCAAUCGUAUUCCAAUCCCACCGGUGCCGCCGCCGGUAGGCCGUUCUUCGCUGUCGCUGCCCCUCCUCCGUUUUAAUCUUUUCUCGUAGUGGUUUCAAUUGUCGAAAUAGGGUUUUGUUCUGAUGUUCUUUUCAAGCACCAACAAUGUUAUACUAAUCUGAAAAUUUUACAUUUUUCUUUUCGAUUCUGUCUUCGUGACAUGUAUAGUAUUUACAUCGUUCCUAAACGUUAAAUUGAAUUGUGCAAGAAUUGAAGUUUAUUUUGAAGAUGUUAGCAUGUCUAGUUAAUCGAUGAAUAUUCACAUAAUCGUCUAUCUUUCUUGAAGACAAAAAUACAGCAGAUAAGUCACCUCAAUUUUCAAAAAGGUAGCUAACUUUUGAUAUAAUCUAGUGGAUUAUAACAACUUUAUCCUAAAAUCCCUGUGUGAAAACCCCAACUGUUGAAUUUUGAAUGAUAAUCGCAAUGAUCUUUCAACGUAGAAAUUCAAAACUGCUUCUUCCCAUUCUAUAACGUGUGUCACUGAAGCUGUCAAUGAUACGUUACAGAAAUUUAUGAAGCUUUAAUAACAAUUUGCAAUUAAAAAAACAACAUAUAAAAAAGAUCUAAACAGAGUUUAACAGAGGUGCAGUGACAUGAGCUCCUUCUAUAAUGGCCCCAUUGGAGCCCAUCAAGAAUCCAUGAAUGCCAUUGACAUUCCUCUGUAACUCAUGAAAUGUGUUCAAUAGCAUGACUUCUGUUGUUGUAUAGGCAAAGUCAACAGAGAGAAUUGGCUCUUAAAUUAUUUGUUUUGCAAUGUGGGGUUUUCUGCAAUUUGUGUUUUUGCAACCUCAAAAGUUUGUACUUUAUUAUUUUUUACCUGUCAAUUUGUUAAAAUAACCCCAAAAUAAAAGAAACUUUGC